rnacentral:ncRNA from 1 species
AAAAACUCAGGAGAGUCCCGCAAAAAGCGGGCGCCGAAGGUGUACCCGGCAAAAUGCCGCUAAUCACUCAGGCAAAAGGAUGGAGGGAGA